rnacentral:lncRNA from 1 species
GAUAUAUGCAAGUUUUUAAACAUUAAAAAGAUUAGUGAAAUGUACAGAAUAUAUCUAAGUUUUUUAAAUUUAUUUUUUUAUUUAAAUUUGUAUUGCAGAUAGUGUUAAAUUCAGCUCCACUGAGAAGUGUGGCGGUAAGCUUGGGAUCAAGUAUAAAGGGCAAUGGGAAUAUGUCUGCGGAAAACUGACUGACACUGAUGCUGGGAAGGUUUGCAAUGUGCUCCAGUGCAAAGAUAAUCAAGAACUGCUGAAUGAACAGGAAAUAGUCAAGGAAAUAAAGGUGAACAUUAAAUGUCCAGAAAGCCACCAGAACAUUUUUCAGUGUGUGAACCUUCUCAAAAAAUCCUGAAUGCAGUCUUGGAUAUGCUGACAUCAAAUGUGAAGGUAAAGAACACAGAUACCAUACACUUUAAUAUAGGAAAAUCAUUUUUAUUGUUUUAGGAUUUGUUUUGCCACUGCUUGCUUUCUUGCAUGAAGUUAAAUAGCUGUGGUUUUGCUUGAUUAAAGGUUAAUAAUCUAACCUGUGAAACUGUACCAUUAAAAUUGCAGGUUAUAGUCCAAAAGUAGGUAUUUCUUCAGUGCGUCUGGUAUUGGGUCUAUUAGGAGGCAUGCUGGGGUUGCUGAUUUUGUUUUUGAUGAUCAGAAAUCGGAAACGCCUACUUUUAGCUUGUGAGUAUCACUUACACUAUACAGAAAGACAUCAUUCUGUAUGUGUAAGAAUAAAUUUGGUUUCUCCAACAGGAGAGGAGGAUGAAGAUGACAGAAAGAGAGAUUCUUCUGGUACAGAAUAUGAUGACAUUGAGGGACAAGCAAAUGGAAUCUCUCCUUCUCAAACCCACCAUGAUGACAAUGUCAACCUCCCUCUCCUGCCCAAGAGACCCGAGAACAUUCUUGAUCAGGACACCUAUGAAGUGGAGAAAGAGAAAGAGGAGGACUAUGAUGAUGUCAUACCUAUCGAGCCUGCAGCCAAUGAAAAUGCAGGGACGACAGGGACACAAGCACAUGUAGAUGUAGACGUGGAUGAAGGUGCAGAUUCAGAAGCAGGUCCAGGUGCCGAGGCUGUACUGGUGACCACAGAGGUAGAAGUUCACACUCAGUGA